UGUCUUGUCUCUUGAGUUGUGUUCUGAAAAGAGAGAAAAGAAAAGAGACAAGAAGAAAAAAUAAAAAUAAAAAGAAAUAUAGAAAAAUGAAAAAAAAAAUUGUGAAUAAUGGAGUCAAGAAGAGGAUUGAAUUAGAGGUUUUGCAUGUGUUUGAAUGUGUUUACACUUGUUCCCCAUUGCUCCUCUAUUUCUUUUUGAUUUAUAGCUUCUCAUCCAUAU
rnacentral:lncRNA from 1 species